rnacentral:miRNA from 1 species
UAUUGCACUUGUCCCGGCCUUC